rnacentral:rRNA from 1 species
AGAGUUUGAUCCUGGCUCAGAUUGAACGCUGGCGGCAGGCCUAACACAUGCAAGUCGAGCGGCAGCGGGUCCUUCGGGAUGCCGGCGAGCGGCGGACGGGUGAGUAAUGCCUAGGAAUCUGCCUGGUAGUGGGGGAUAACUCGGGGAAACUCGAGCUAAUACCGCAUACGUCCUACGGGAGAAAGUGGGGGAUCUUCGGACCUCACGCUAUCAGAUGAGCCUAGGUCGGAUUAGCUAGUUGGUGAGGUAAAGGCUCACCAAGGCGACGAUCCGUAACUGGUCUGAGAGGAUGAUCAGUCACACUGGAACUGAGACACGGUCCAGACUCCUACGGGAGGCAGCAGUGGGGAAUAUUGGACAAUGGGCGAAAGCCUGAUCCAGCCAUGCCGCGUGUGUGAAGAAGGUCUUCGGAUUGUAAAGCACUUUAAGUUGGGAGGAAGGGCAGUAAGUUAAUACCUUGCUGUUUUGACGUUACCAACAGAAUAAGCACCGGCUAACUUCGUGCCAGCAGCCGCGGUAAUACGAAGGGUGCAAGCGUUAAUCGGAAUUACUGGGCGUAAAGCGCGCGUAGGUGGUUCAGCAAGUUGGAGGUGAAAUCCCCGGGCUCAACCUGGGAACUGCCUCCAAAACUACUGGGCUAGAGUAUGGUAGAGGGUGGUGGAAUUUCCUGUGUAGCGGUGAAAUGCGUAGAUAUAGGAAGGAACACCAGUGGCGAAGGCGACCACCUGGACUAAUACUGACACUGAGGUGCGAAAGCGUGGGGAGCAAACAGGAUUAGAUACCCUGGUAGUCCACGCCGUAAACGAUGUCGACUAGCCGUUGGGAUCCUUGAGAUCUUAGUGGCGCAGCUAACGCGAUAAGUCGACCGCCUGGGGAGUACGGCCGCAAGG